AAGAAACGGACUGAACAUCGCUCUGAGGUUCACGCCUCGCACUCUGCACCUGCAGCUUCACCUGCGCAGGUGAGGCCGUUGUAACACAUGCAGAGCCGAGGACAUUAGGGGAGAAUAUUUAACGUUCACAACACGCAGUUUAAUAACCCGCGCCGAAACAAAGCAUCUUAUGUUCCUGGCCUAACCUUACUGCCCACGGAGGUGCGUCUGAUAACACACCUGAGGACUGCGCUCACACACCAUUUUGGCUUUUUUUAGAAAAUCUGGCUGUAAAUCAACAGCCUGAGCCAAGUGUGCCAUCUGCUGGGACGAGCUCAGAAUCAAAGCUGUUCCUCACCAGGAGUGACUCCAAGGAAGCUUUACAGACUCCUUCAUCUCUCCUCUUUGUUUUUGUGGAGGCUCAUCAGAGUUCUGAUAUUUUUGCGAGCUGACCCUGAAGGUACCGC
ensembl:lncRNA